ensembl:lncRNA
CUGCUCUCGACGGAGCGGAAUGCGCGGCUUGCGAGAGCUUUUUGAUGAAAAAGCUCCGUUCACGCUUGUCCCUUUUCUCGAGGGAAUUAGGACAAGUGUCGGCGCCGCGUGGUUCAGGACCUGCUGCAGCCGAGGCACAGCGGAGACUGAGAUCGUGGGGCUCACAGGUCGAGCUGGCGGAGGAUUUCUAACGAGAGAGCAGCGUGUGACCGCCAGCCCCACAAGCCACGGGAGAGCACGGCCCCACACUGCACCAGCGCACUGACAGCCAAGACGCCGAGCACCGAGCACCAAACUGCCUCACAGCAACGCCUAUCACCACCCUUCCUAUUUAGUAAAAUCCACCCUUUGGGGAACUUACCCUCAUCCUCAAGUCGUGUCCUCCUUCACCCCGCCACACUGGUGGAGAAUGCGGGCAGGACAGUGAAGAGGACACCGACGAUCCCACCCCGCACCGUGUGCUACGAAUUGGACUGGUUUGGAUUGACUUUUUGUUUUUUUUCCCACAUUACUUACCUCACGUGAUUUUUCUGGUUCCCCAGGUGGCGCUCCUCCCCCAACGAUGGAAGAGCUGUUGAAAUGCCUCACCGAGGUGAGCAUCCACCAGCAGCAAAUCGUGGAGCACAUGGCCACCCAGCAGGGGGAAACCGAACGUGAGUUGGCCGCGCUCCGGCUCGCCACAGCCCCGCGAACUCUGCUACCUGACCCCCGUGUCCAGGCAACCCAGCUGCUGCCCCAGAUGACGGCCCACGAUGAUGUGACGAUGUACCUCCAGAUGUUUGAGACCGUAGCCUUUCGGGAGGCAUGGCCCAAGGAAGAAUGGGCGCACAUAGUGGCACCGCUGCUCACGGGAGAGGCUCAGCGAGCGUACUUCGCGCUUCCUUCGGAACAAAGCACCUCCUACGAGGAUUUACGGAAGUAGAUCCUAGGAUGGAUGGGGUUGUCUCCGAUCAGCGCUGCCCAGCUGUUUAAGGAAUGGACCUUCGACCCUCGGCAGCCAACCCGGGCCCAAGCCGCUAGCCUCUCCCGUUUGGCCCAGCACUGGUUGCUGGCCGGGGGUCCCACCGUACACCAGGUAGCGGACCGCGUCGUGGUCGACCGCCUCUUACGUGCUCUUCCCCGCCCGCUGCAGCAGGCCGCCAGCAUGCGGAACCCGGCCAAUGUGGAUGAACUCGUCGAGGCCAUAGAGCUGGCGGAGGCCACCCAACACCGGGAGGUAGGGGAGAGAGCGCCGCCGUUUCCCCGGAGGGUGGUCCAGGAGCGACGCACUCCGGAGGGCACCCAGCGUCCAGUGAGCAGGCCGGCGGUUCCCAGCCCAC